UACGUAGGGGGCUAGCGUUGUCCGGAUUUAUUGGGCGUAAAGAGCGUGUAGGCGGCCAGGUAGGUCCGUUGUGAAAACUCGAGGCUCAACCUCGAGACGUCGGCGGAAACCCUCUGGCUAGAGUCCGGAAGAGGAGAGUGGAAUUCCUGGUGUAGCGGUGAAAUGCGCAGAUAUCAGGAGGAACACCAAUAGCGAAGGCAGCUCGCUGGGACGGUACUGACGCUAAGGCGCGAAAGCGUGGGUAGCAAACAGG
rnacentral:rRNA from 1 species